UGGGGAUGACGUCAAGUCCUCAUGGCCUUUAUGGGUAGGGCGUUCACACGUCAUACAAUGGUCGGUACAGAGGGUUGCCAAGCCGCGAGGCGGAGCCAAUCCCACAAAGCCGAUCGUAGUCCGGAUUGUUCUCUGCAACUCGAGAGCAUGAAGUCGGAAUCGCUAGUAAUCGCAGGUCAGCAUACUGCGGUGAAUACGUUCCCGGGUCUU
rnacentral:rRNA from 1 species